rnacentral:rRNA from 1 species
CGCGUAUAGAACCUACCUUUUACUGAGGGAUAGCCUUUAGAAAUGAAGAUUAAUACCUCAUAGUAUUGCGAUUUGGCAUCAGAUUGUAAUUAAAGAUUUAUUGGUAAAAGAUGGCUAUGCGUCUUAUUAGCUAGAUGGUAAGGUAACGGCUUACCAUGGCAACGAUAAGUAGGGGCCCUGAGAGGGGGAUCCCCCACACUGGUACUGAGACACGGACCAGACUCCUACGGGAGGCAGCAGUGAGGAAUAUUGGGCAAUGGAGGCAACUCUGACCCAGCCAUGCCGCGUGCAGGAAGACUG